UACAACAGCCGUGUUCUGGAUCCUGAUUUACUUGGAUAACUGUGGUAAUUCUAGAGCUAAUACAUGCUACAAAGCUCUGACCUGAAAGAAGGAGCGCAUUUAUUAGACCAAGACCAAUCAGGCUUUGCCUGUAAUCUGGUGACUCUGAAUAACUUUGCUGAUCACAUGGUCCUAGCACCGGUGACAUAUCUUUCAAGUGUCUGCCCUAUCAACUUUCGAUGGUAGUUUAUGUGCCUACCAUGGUUGUAACGGGUAACGGAGAAUAAGGGUUCGACUCCGGAGAGGGAGCCUGAGAAAUGGCUACCACAUCCAAGGAAGGCAGCAGGCGCGCAAAUUACCCACUCUCAGAAUGAGGAGGUAGUGACGAAAAAUAACAAGAUGGUUCUCUAUGAGGCCCAUCAUUGGAAUGGGUACAAUUUAAACCCUUUAACGAGGAUCUAUUGGAGGGCAAGUCUGGUGCCAGCAGCCGCGGUAAUUCCAGCUCCAAUAGCAUAUGCCAAUUCUGUUGCUGUUAAAAAGCUCGUAGUUGGAUCUUUUCCGAGGGUGGGGUCGGCCUGACAGGGCCUGUACUCUAUUCUGAGGAUAUAAUCGCUGGUCUUCCCUUGGUUCUCUUUAUUGGGUGCCUUGGGUGGCUAGCACAUUUACUUUGAAAAAAUUAGAGUGCUCAGAACAGGCGUUACUGCCCGUAUAGUGGUGCAUGGAAUAAUGGAAUAGGAUCUCGGUUCUAUUUUGUUGGUUUUAGGAGCGCGAGAUAAUGAUUAAGAGGGACAGACGGGGGCAUUUGUAUUGCGGCGUUAGAGGUGAAAUUCUUGGAUCGCCGCAAGACAAACAAUUGCGAAAGCAUUGCCAAGAAUGUUUUCAUUAAUCAAGAACGAAAGUUAGAG
rnacentral:rRNA from 1 species